rnacentral:rRNA from 1 species
AUUGAACGCUGGCGGCAGGCCUAACACAUGCAAGUCGAACGGCAGCACAGAAGAGCUUGCUCUUUGGGUGGCGAGUGGCGGACGGGUGAGUAAUGUCUGGGAAACUGCCCGAUGGAGGGGGAUAACUACUGGAAACGGUAGCUAAUACCGCAUAACGUCGCAAGACCAAAGUGGGGGACCUUCGGGCCUCACACCAUCGGAUGUGCCCAGAUGGGAUUAGCUAGUAGGUGGGGUAAUGGCUCACCUAGGCGACGAUCCCUAGCUGGUCUGAGAGAAUGACCAGGCACACUGGAACUGAAACACGGUCCAGACCCCUACGGGAGGCAGCAGUGGGGAAUAUUGCACAAUGGGCGCAAGCCUGAUGCAGCCAUGCCGCGUGUAUGAAGAAGGCCUUCGGGUUGUAAGGUACUUUCAGCGGGGAGGAAGGCGGUGAGGUUAAUAACCUCGCCGAUUGACGUUACCCGCAGAAGAAGCACCGGCUAACUCCGUGCCAGCCGCCGCGGUAA